rnacentral:rRNA from 1 species
CAGUCGCCGCGGUAAUACGAAGGGGGCUAGCGUUGUUCGGAUUUACUGGGCGUAAAGCGCACGUAGGCGGACUUUUAAGUCAGGGGUGAAAUCCCGGGGCUCAACCCAGGAACUGCCUUUGAUACUGGAAGUCUUGAGUAUGGUAGAGGUGAGUGGAAUUCCGAGUGUAGAGGUGAAAUUCGUAGAUAUUCGGAGGAACACCAGUGGCGAAGGCGGCUCACUGGACCAUUACUGACGCUGAGGUGCGAAAGCGUGGGGAGCAAACAGGAUUAGAUACCCCUGUAGUCCCUGUCUCUUAUAC